ensembl:lncRNA
GCGUUAUCUGCGCCGGGGCGGUCAGCAGACAGCAACUGAGCAGACAUGGCGGCACACAGCUUGCAUAUCACUGGACAGGAGAGGUUUUUAUUACUCCGUUUUUAUACCUAAGAAGGUUUCGUUCAAAUAAGCAAAGUUUGUUUUUAUGUUUUCCUGCGCGGAGAUGCUGCUGGCGUUCUGGUGCGCAAAGCUGUGACUUUCUGUGGCUGAGGCUGCCAAGUUUCCAUGCAGAGCUCCAAACCAGGGCGGCUAUCUCAGAGGAAUGAAGAUGUUCCAGCUCUCCAUGAUGCUGCAGGAGGGACCAAUGUACCUAUAGCAGAUGUUCCAGCUCUCCAUGAUGCUGCAGGAGGGACCAAUGUACCUAUAGCAGGUACUGUGUGUGUGUGUGUGUGUGUGUGUGUGUGUGUGUGCGUGCGUGCGUGCGUGCGUGCGUGCGUGCGUGCGUGCGUGCGUGCGUGCGUGCGUGCGUGCGUGUGUGUGUGUGUGAUACACUUGCCGUGAAGACACUGACUGAACAUUUAGUGACAACAUUUUGUUGAUCUUCCUCGGAUCAAUUGUAAUAAAUUCAAUCUGUGAAGACAUGAAGACAUGAACAGUGAUAAAGAGAAUAGAGAGAUGAACAUGAUGAAAUAGUUUCAAAAACAAAGUGAGUAGAGAUACAACUAGUGAAGAAGCAGCUUAUUGAAAUAUCACAGUUAAACAUAAACAACGACAAACAAUCAAGAUGAAGGAAGACAAAAGUGUUAGAUAUCAGUCCGCAUAACCAAAGAGGUAAGGUGUAGAAUAACUGAGCAUUAAAUAAAGUGAAAUCACAACGUAAUGAAGCAGGGACAUUCAAACAGAAGGCUUCAAUUGAUAUUUUUGCUGCCUUUGUCAAGAAGAUUAUUUAUUUUGUGCUCUUCCUGAGUGGUUUCUUUAUUACAUAAAACAAGCUAAAUAUAACGAACAUAACUAAAAUAUGACUUCCAUAAAGAAAAUGGCUUUCAAUAUUUAAUUCUAAAAUGAUACAAGAGCUGAACGUGAUAAUGAACAGGAUGUUGUGUGGAUCUGUGUGUCAGUGUGUAGAGGAGGAAACAUGUGCACUUUAAUUACCAUAGUGUCCUCUCAAUGGACAGAUGUGAUGACGAGGGUGCAGACAGUGAACGCUGGAGUCCCGUCCCCUAACAUGGCUGCUUCUGAUUGCACCUACUUGUUGUCUGCGGGGCUCCACUACAUAGUAACAACCGGGUGGAUGUUACGUUACGAUGGAUGGAUGAUGGAUGACACAUGAAUUUGCUGCUUUAUAGAUUUAUAGGUUUUAGAAGUAAUCAUGAGACUUUUAAUAGCUUACAGGUUUAUUAGAAAAUGAGCAAGUCCUUACAAGUGCUCCUACCAAAGCAUUUUCUAAUUUAAAUAAAAGUGGCCCUCGGCCAUCUCCAGGUUUGACCAUGAAACAACCGUCUAACUUUUAGAGAGCCUCUGAGAUGCUUUAUGUUUUAGUCUUGAUAUUAACUCAAGCACUCUCCCUCUCUCUCCCCCAGGCAUGAUCAGCGUCGGACAAACACAGCAGCCAGAGAAGAACUAAAGCAUCACAACUGCACAUUCAACUGGAUUUACUGUGUACUGUGUUUAGUGGAAUAUUUGUUUGUAUUUUAUAAAGCUAAUUCAGGCCCCUUCGAGUUUAUAUUGUGGGUUUCCUUUAUAUUUGUCAUUGAUAUGGAUAAUUUACCGAUAUGUAUUUUUUCCAAGAAAAAUAAUCCAAUGAGGCUGAAUAGAAAUACUUAACUGUCUUCAUUAUGUCAUUUAUUUUUACUCCUAAAUUGGUCAGGCUCUCCUGCAUUGAAACUGAUAAAGGAAAUAAAAGCUUCUGUUUCUGAGCUCUCAUCUCGUGCUUCUGGAUAUGGAUUCUCUCCUGUGUGAUUAAUUGCUUGGCCGUUAACGGCUCUA